UUUAACGGCCGCGGUAUUUUGACCGUGCGAAGGUAGCGUAAUCACUUGUCUUUUAAAUAGAGACCUGUAUGAAUGGCAUAACGAGGGCUGAACUGUCUCCUCCCCCCAGUCAAUGAAAUUGAUCUAUCCGUGCAGAAGCGGAUAUAAUUACAUAAGACGAGAAGACCCUAUGGAGCUUAAGACACAAGAGUAGCCCAUGAAAACCCUAAACUAACUAGAAGAAACAAUUGAUAUCUGCCCUAUGUCUUUGGUUGGGGCGACCGCGGGGAAACAAUAAACCCCCACGUGGAACGGAUAACCCGAAACAAGACCCACAAGUCAAACAAACAGAAAUUCUGACCAAAAGAUCCGGCAAGCCGAUCAACGGACCCAGUUACCCUAGGGAUAACAGCGCAAUCCCCUUUUAGAGCCCAUAUCGACAAGGGGGUUUACGACCUCGAUGUUGGAUCAGGACAUCCUAAUGGUGCAGCCGCUAUUAAGGGUUCGUUUGUUCAACGAUUAAAGUCCU
rnacentral:rRNA from 1 species